rnacentral:rRNA from 1 species
UACGAAGGGGGCUAGCGUUGUUCGGAAUUACUGGGCGUAAAGCGCACGUAGGCGGACAUUUAAGUCAGGGGUGAAAUCCCGGGGCUCAACCCCGGAACUGCCUUUGAUACUGGGUGUCUAGAGCAUGGAAGAGGUGAGUGGAAUUCCGAGUGUAGAGGUGAAAUGCGUAGAGAUCAGCAGGAGCACCCGUGGCGAAGGCGGCAUCCUGGACCAAUAUUGACGCUGAGGAGCGAAAGCCAGGGGAGCAAACGGG